AUGGAGUAUGACGAGCGGUACGCGCCAUUCUACAGGAGAGCCCGACUGCUGGGUUUCGUCAUGCAGUUCAAGCGCAAGCAGCCGACGCUCGUCCACUCAGCUCUCACGGCUUUGAUUGAUCGGUGGCGGCCAGAGACACACAGCUUCCAUCUUCCAUGUGGGGAGAUGAUGGUUACACUCGAGGAUUGGGGGAUGAUUACGGGUGUGACGCCCGGGUAA
rnacentral:rRNA from 1 species